AGCUUGAUGGAAUCGUGAAAGUAAUUCCCAUGAUGCCAUUUUGCCUACCUCAUCAGGCAGAAAGUUUCUGGACUUUGGAUUCAAUUUUAGCCUCCACUGCUCAGAGCCGGAGCCCCUGGAUAUGCUAGGCUUCAUCUGGCUUCCUGUCUCAGCCUAAAAGCACCCAGUUGCUGGUUCAGUCCUGCUGUGCUCCAAGCACGAAAUGUGGCUCAAGGGGCAGGGGUUAAAUGGCAUCCAGCACAGAGUUCCAGAAAACCUGCUAUGGACGGAAUGUGUCCCCCCCCCUAAAUUUAUAUGUGAUGGUAUUUGGAGCGAGAGGAAGUAAUCAGAUAAUGCAGGCAGAGCCUUCAUAUGGGACCAGUGCCCUUAUAAGAAGAGACCCUCUCUCUCUAGCCAUGUGAGGACACAGCAAGAAAGUGGCCAUCAAGAAGGCAGGAAGCGGGUCCUCCCCAGACAGUGAAUCUGCAGACACCUUGGUCUUGGGACUUCCCACCCUCCGGGACUUUGAGAAAUCAAUGUUUGUUGUUUAAGCCA